rnacentral:tRNA from 1 species
GCCUUCUUAGUGUAAUGGUCAGCACAUUCGGCGCGUAUUUGGUAGGUCCGAGGUUCGAGUCUCGGAGAGGGCA